UACGUUUUCCGUUAAAUCUGUACGCUUAACGUACAGACUGCCGGGAAUACUGCAAAGCUAGGGAGUGGGAGAGGUAGACGGUACUCGGUAGGAAGUGGUAAAAUCCUUUGAUCUAUUGAUGACCACCUGUGGCGAAGGCGGUCUACCAGAACACGUCCGACGGUGAGGGAUGAAACCUAGGGGAGCAAACCGGAUUAGAUACCCGGGUAGUCCCAGCUGUAAACUAUGCAAACUUAGUGAUGCAUUGGCUUGUGGCCAAUGCAGUGUUGCAGGGAAGGCGAUAA
rnacentral:rRNA from 1 species